rnacentral:rRNA from 1 species
AUUGAACGCUGGCGGCAGGCCUAACACAUGCAAGUCGAGCGGCAGCGGGAAAGUAGCUUGCUACUUUUGCCGGCGAGCGGCGGACGGGUGAGUAAUGCCUGGGAAAUUGCCCAGUCGAGGGGGAUAACAGUUGGAAACGACUGCUAAUACCGCAUACGCCCUACGGGGGAAAGCAGGGGACCUUCGGGCCUUGCGCGCUUGGAUAGGGCCGGGUGGGAUUAGCUAGUUGGUGAGGUAAUGGCUCACCAAGGGGACGAUCCCUAGCUGGUCUGAGAGGAUGAUCAGCCACACUGGAACUGAGACACGGUCCAGACUCCUACGGGAGGCAGCAGUGGGGAAUAUUGCACAAUGGGGGAAACCCUGAUGCAGCCAUGCCGCGUGUGUGAAGAAGGCCUUCGGGUUGUAAAGCACUUUCAGCGAGGAGGAAAGGUCAGUAGCUAAUACCUGCUGGCUGUGACGUUACUCGCAGAAGAAGCACCGGCUAACUCCGUGCCAGCCGCCGCUGUAACAC